ensembl:misc_RNA
GGAAAAUUCUUUAUGUUGAAUCCACAUCUGUUUCUCUACAGUUUGCACUCAUUGGAGCUGUACAGAAUAAAAUGUUUAAUACUGCUUCCACAAAUAUUUGAGGACUGCUAAUACAUUUCCUUUUCCCACUCAUUCCACAAGCCUCCUUUUCUUCAAACUAAACAUGCCUGUUAUUUCAAACAGGAAGGCAGUGUGGGGUAGUGGAAAGAUCACCAGCUCUGGAGCCAAACACAU